CAUCGUAUGUCAAAGACUUACUUGACAGCUUUUUGCUCUCAUGCUCUCUUCUAUUGUUCUCUGUUAUUGUUUUAAUUUUCCGCCGGCCGGUGCAUUUCUAUCUUAAUGCCAUUUUCGCGUUGUUAAAUUAUAAAAUAAAUGCUAAAUAGGCAGAUUCAAGGAAUUUGUAAUUAGAAAAAUGUCUGGACAUAAAUUUUUGUAAUUAACAGGAGUGAGCUGGCGCCUGGAUUGAAUAAAUUUUUGGAAAAACACGUGCGUUAUUAGUCUGAUAAAACAUAGACUUCAAUAUUUUGGAAAUUUGCCAUAAAUUCCCGGGCUUAUCAUUAGUUCCGUCCACGUACUAAAUGGUUUCAAAAGUUUUACUGCAAGUCAUUGGCGUGCUUUACCAGCUGAUAGAAAAGAGCGGAAGAGAGAGAGAGAGCAAAUUUUUUUUAUGACUUUUAAAUAUUUCGCUAUGAUUGUCAUCGUUAUUAACUGAAAAUGUCUUAAUUGCAAUUAAUAGUAAAACAUAGCAGUAUUUCUGAAUUGUAUCAAUUCACAA